AUGCGCGGGUUUAAGUUAUAAGAUGUCAUUCUUAAAAUUAGCAAGAAUUAAUUAUAAAUACUUUCAAAUAUUGUGGAUGGUUGGUUAUAUUAGUUAAGUAUAGCUACAUUUAAAAUACUGUAAAAUCAUUUUAUUGUUGCUUAGCAAAUAACUUUUUAAUAUGUAGCUAUCCAGCGCUAGGCAACCGUUUACAUGAUUUCGCAGUAUUUUUAAUGUAGCUAUCCUAAUCAAAUCAACCGUCCACAAUGUUUUAAAGUAUUUAUAAUGUAGCUAACCUAACCUAAUUGACCAUUAGUUAUCAUGAGUUGUAUAUUUAUUUACAAUGAAAAAAACAACCGAAGAUGAACGAUCGGACGUUUGGCUCUCUCGUCUGUUGAAAGAAGGCUUGCCAACUCGCGCAGAACGUACGUGGUAUGUGCUGCUCUCUGGUGAUAAGUGGCCGAGAUUAGCAACAGUUGGCAACAGGAGUAUCUACAGUUGGCAGGCCUGGAGCCUGGCUACGCUGACUGACGAUAAACAUAGCCACGUGCCGUGACUUUGCCAUCAUCUAGGAGCAUUUGUGUAUGAUGCACCUGACACAUUCUUCGUGCCACUUGGAUCGGAGUACGCGUCGCAUGUCCUGGAUAAGUGGGAAUACUAGCAGUUGGUAUGAUGCAGUACACUGUAUGUGUGGCCGCACAGCAGAGGAAACUCAAGGUCACCUCCGUGAAGCCUCCGCCGGGGUUAUUCCCAGCCCUGGUGCGGAUACCCGGACCACCACCAACCCUGGAGGAGCUCGUCCGACGCCAGGAGAACUGCCCGGAUCUGCGCUACGGCUUCCUUCUGCCGAGGGGACUCAGCGAACUGUUGCAGACCGCCCUUCCAAGUAUCAGCACAACCACCAUCAAGAGGCAAGAAAUUACCCUUCCCCUACAAGGGACCAUGAUGUUAGAAGAUAUCGAGAUGAAGACAUGGAAAAGUUGGCAUCCGAAUUCAAUGGAACUUCUUGUCUGACUACAGAUUUUAACAACCAGUUGUCUGGCGGUGAGGGCGUCCCGGGCUCCGAAGUGGAGCUGCCGUGGAGUCCUGUUCUGAAGACGAGGCGGACUUGCGGCUGUUCGUCGGUCGUCGGCUUCAGGACAGCCCUGCCGUCGAGAAGUCGUGUCGUGCAUCAAACAGCUAGUACAAGAAGAAAAAUUCUUCUGGGACAAUUUAAAUUAACUUUUUACACUAAUAAAUUCUUUUCACUAUUAAAAUCAAUCAGCUCUCUAAAAUAACACUAUGUGAAGACACAACAGUCUAACCAAUCCUAAGAAAGAGACAUUUUAUUUUUUUGUAGUCUGUACAUAAAUUAUUAUUGUCUAUUAUGUUAUUUCAUUUUUAAAAUCAAUUUUUUUUUUGUUUUUGUUAAAAGAAGUGUCAAACUUAAUUAAGGUAGGCUUUGAUGCCUCUAGUCCCAACAGGGAACCCGCUUUCACAGUUCACAGUACUUUAUGGUGGUGUUUUGAUUAUUUUCUUUCAAUUUUAAAUUUGAAUGCAGAAAUUAAAAUUUUAAAUUUUGUUUUUAUUAUUUUUAUUUUAGCUUAAUGGGACUCGAGUUCAGUUAGCAGGAAGUAAUGUCGCUUUCCAGAAUUUUUCGGUAUAGACGUCUUCAAAUUACUAUCUUUCUUGGUACAGGCUGGAUGCUGGCAUGAGAAACGUGGGGUCCUCUCAGAUAGUUUGUACCUUGACUAAAAAUGUCGGGCCGGCUUCACCGAACCCUUCUGGAAAGUAGGAGGGAUGGCGGACACUUUUCAAGCGCAAGUUCGAGUCAGCUCGGUUUAGGCUCACUGGGCGGGCUCCUGCCCGUCCUGGUGAUGAGUCGAGGUUGUUUGAGAUGUCAGUUGGCGUUUUAUGAUGUAAAUGUUUUAAAAUGACUGGGUGGGCACCGGCCACCCAGGUAUCUGUUCUAUUAAUUUCGCGUUGAUAAUUGUUUAAAGGUAAAAUGGCUAGUUAAAUCUACAAUGAGAACAGAGGCAGGGGAGCCCAGAACUUAAGAAAAGAUCCAAAUUCAUGUAAGUUAAAAUUUUUAUAUGUACAAGACUCAGUCGUUAGUAACUUUGUUUUUUAAGUAUUCUGUUUUGUCUCUUUAAGUGCCUAGUUUAAAAAUGUCUAAUUUACUAAAGUUCUGGUUUGUACUCCCUUAAUCUCAACUGGUCCUGUUAUUGAGAAUCUAAUUAAUGUUGACACCUCAAGCAAUUAUUUCGAAACUGAAAUGUAUAAGACUGUUAUUAUUAAUCUUUAUCUCUUUCAUAAUGUUUUUUUUUUAAAGAUAUAAGUUUUAAGUUAUUUAGAUUAAUUAUUUUAUAUUUUAUUUAAAACUAUGAAUAAUAAGAAGUCAUACCCUAGAACCUCCUGUAGAGGAGGGAAACAGAUCCUUGAUUUAAGUCUUAAUGUCGUAAAUCCUCUUGUAGCUCUACCAUAAUAAUGAUUUAAUUAUUUUUAUUCAUGAGUUACAUCAUUUUUUCCCCACAGAAAGAUACCAUUUGCUCUUAGUAGCUUGUGUUUUAUUUUUUGAUAUUAAACUAUCCUAUCAUUUUGUUACAUUUAGAUUAAAAUAUUUUAUUUAAAAAUCCACAUUUUGUUGCAAUAUUUCUCAGUACGAAUUCAGUUACUUAAAUAGCUCUUAUAUGAGUCAUAUAGCAGUUAGAAGUAGUGAUUUUGCAAGUGUGUUGAUCAUAUUUUCUUGUAAAUAUAAUAUUGUAGCACAUGCUACCCUUAUGUAAACUUGUAUAACCAUUGUAUUUCACCACUGUGCAAGCUAUAUGCUGCCUGCUGACAGCUCACAAACACUCAUCUUCCAGAAUCCAGAUUUUUUUUUUUUUUUUUGUUUCCCAUUCUAGUUUGUACAAAUUAGUGCUAAGGUUGUUUUAUCUCGUCAAGCUUUGAAGCUAUGUUAUUAGUAUGAGAAGACUGAGAGAAGAAAUAAUUACUUUUACAUAACUGACUGCAUGUAUAUAGCAAUAAGAUAUAGUGCAUUGUUAAUAUCAUGUAAAAAAUUUCUUUAUAACAAUUCUGUGGAAGUGAGCUGCUCUUCAGAUGUUGCAUGCAGAAUCAUGGUUUUUUUUAGCAUUGUUUUUGGUUGUAUUGUAAGCAGAUCGUCCAGUAGGAGUACAGCAAAGAAGUAUGUAUAAUAUGAAAUUGCAAUUAAAUACAGUAUCAUAUCAAAAUUUGUGAUGGAAUUAGCAGAUCUCUAUAGAACUACAAAGCUGAUUAGCAAAACCUUCCUGUAAUCAACACUUUACCUAACAUUGAAUAUUGUAUUUCUUCAGUGAGUGUAUUCCACAAACGCAUAUACUACAUGUGAUGAGUUUAUCCAGAGUUAGUGGUUUUAUGAGCUGUUUGCAAAUUGAGUUAUUCCUGAUGCAAGUUGGCCUGCUAAUGCAUGAUACCAUACCAUUUAAUUCUUGAUUUGAAGCCUAUCAAAAUGUUUAUACAUAUGUAUUUUCUCAGCGAUAUAAAUGUUAUUCUUCAAACAGCAGAACCAAUUGACUGUGACACUCAGAAGCAACAUUUCCUUAAUUAUAUUUGUAAAAAAAUAUGUUAUAAAUAAGUACAUAUUUGUAGUUUGUCUUGACGAACUAUCAUAAAACUUUAUGUUAUUAUUAUUGUUUGCUCUAUAUGCAAGUUUGGCAUACUUUAAAUUUUUUUUGUAUGAAUAAUUUAUUUGUGUUGAAGGGACGCAACUGUGUCUGUUGUCAUUUGGCGAGAAGUUUCUAUGUUAUUGAUCAACUUGUGCUUUAAGAAAUAUUCUAAGUUUGUUACAUGUGAAAAUUGUUUAUUAAAAGUAAAGAAUUAUUUUUCGGA